rnacentral:rRNA from 1 species
UACGGAGGGGGCUAGCGUUGUUCGGCAUUACUGGGCGUAAAGCGCACGUCGGCGGAUAGUUAAGUUAGAGGUGAAAGCCCAGGGCUCAACCCUGGAACUGCCUUUAAUACUGGCUGUCUAGAGAUCGAGAGAGGUGAGUGGAAUUCCGAGUGUAGAGGUGAAAUUCGUAGAUAUUCGGAGGAACACCAGUGGCGAAGGCGGCUCACUGGCUCGAUACUGACGCUGAGGUGCGAAAGCGUGGGGAGCAAACAGG